rnacentral:rRNA from 1 species
GAUGAACGCUGGCGGCAUGCUUUACACAUGCAAGUCGGACGGGAAGUGGUGUUUCCCGUGGCGGACGGGUGAGUAACGCGUAAGAACCUGCCCUUGGGAGGGGAACAACAGCUGGAAACGGCCGCUAAUACCCCGUAGGCUGAGGAGCGAAAGGAGGAAUCCGCCCAAGGAGGGGCUCGCGUCUGAUGAGCUAGUUGGUGAGGUAAUAGCUUACCAAGGCCGUGAUCAGUAGCUGGUCCGAGAGGAUGAUGAGCCACACUGGGGCUGAGACAAGGCGCAGAAGCCUCCGGGGGGCAGCAGUGGGGAAUAUUGUACAAUGGGGGGAAGACGGAUGAAGCAACGCUGCGGGGGGGAGGAAAGGGGUCGGGGGGUAAAGAACUUUUGCCCGUGAAGAAGAAAGAGUGACGGUAAUGGGGAAAGAAGCACCGGCUAACUACGUG